AAUUAAAUUGCUGAUUCAAUCGAACAUAUGGUAUGAACAUGUUCGUUUCACGGGGUGUUUCGGUGUCUUGCCUUGAAUCAAGGCGUGUAAAAACGUUAUGUGUGAUCCUUAUACACCAGCUGGUGUUCCAAUUCCAACCAACAAGAGGCACAACGCUGCUAAAAUUUUCAGACACCCAUCAUUGCCUCCGAGGAGCCUUGGUAUGCUCAUCUUCUUCUUUUUUGGCUAUACAUAUUAUUUUCGUUACUAUAAAUUCUAAUAGUGUUUGUUUUUUUAAACGAUUGUAUGUUUUGGAUGAA